CACAUAGUUAGCCGGGGCUUCCUCCUUAGGUACAGUCUUUUAUCUUCCCUAACGCAAUAGUUUACAAUCCGAAAACCUUCUUCCUAUACGCGGCGUCACUGCGUCAGAGUUUCCUCCAUUGCGCAAUAUUCCCGACUGCUGCCUCCCGUAGGAGUCUGGGCCGUAUCUCAGUCCCAAUGUGGCCGUUCAACCUCUCAGUCCGGCUACUGAUCGUAGUCUUGGUAGGCCGUUACCCCACCAACUAACUAAUCAGACGUAAGCCCAUCUAUUAGCGGAUUGCUCCUUUCCUAACUGUAUCAUGCGAUACUGUUAGCAUAUGCGGUAUUAGCAAUGAUUUCUCACUGUUAUUCCCCUCUAAUAGGCAGGUUGCUUACGUGUUACUCACCAGUCCGCCACUAACCGCUCUCAAACUAAAACGAAUGAGUUAAGUCCGUUCGACUUGCAUGUCUUAUGUGCGCCGCCAGCGUUAUCCUGAGCCAGGAUCGAAACUC
rnacentral:rRNA from 1 species